rnacentral:tRNA from 1 species
GGUCUGGUGGUGUAGUUGGUUAUCACGUCAGUCUAACAGUACGAGAGCCUUGUGUCUCUCCACUCUGCCACACUGAAGGUCUCCGGUUCAAGUCCGGGCUAGAUCA